CAGCCUGCAGGUCUAGAGACAUCCAUCCCUCCAGCUCCCUCCAGUGAAACACAGCCUGCUGAAGAAACUACACCACUAAUGUCCAGUGACUCUCCUGCACCAACCGGGGACCAACGAGAACACACUUCAAGAACAACUACCCCUGAUGUAACUAUGGAUGGUCAUGAUGAUGACCAGAGUCUGGAUGCCCUCGCCUACCGGUCUGGUACUGGACAGCUAGACAUUGAGAUGGGUCCAGUCCAAACACUGCCCAAAGAUCGUAACAGGAUUCUUUAAUAUCGCUGUUAGACCCAAGUUUCCCAUCGACUGUGAUUCACUAUUGAAGGGGAAUGACAUUACAGGAUACAAAGUAACGCAGUUCAAGAAAUUCGGGAUCAACAUGAAAGUGAAUCUGAUGGUUCAAACUCAGAAACUAGAGGAGGAAAUACACCAGUCUGAUUCCUUCCUGAUGCCAGCUUUGACAGGAGAAGAGGCGUGGUGUGUUUAACAUCAUUAUUUGAUCAAUCCUCACAUUAUUCUUCUAAAUGUGGCUCACAGAGCAAAGACAAGCGAGGUGUUAAUAAAUAGUGUGAGGUGUGCUCUGUGAGGCAUCCUGGGAUAUGAUGGGUAGCGUUGGCUUGGGUCCAAGCUCCACCUCUCUUGGGCGACCACCAAGGAAGACAAUAUUUUCUUUAUGAUAUAUUUUUUUACAACGUUACUAACGUUACUAACUAUUUUGCAAACGAUGACACGUACAUAUUUCACCCAUGCAAGUAUCCUUUCUUGUUGUUUUUCUACUAAACUUUUAGUACCGUCACUUUUUUGAAGGCUUUUGACCGUAAUCAUUUAGGGAAUACAAUUUAAAAUAACAGAUGCAAAACCUUUAAUGAAAAUAUCUGCCAAUUUACUGCACUGUAUUUCAAUGAUGAUUUCUUAUUUACAUUUAAUGGAUUUUUAUUUUUUUUAAGUAAUUCCUGUACUUCUUUUUUACUACUUGCCUUGAGUUGUUCAGGAAGCAUUUGGGGUGCUGGGAUUAGCAUUACAUGGCCUUCUUUCAUGUGUCAGUCAAACAUUGUUAGUUACAUACUAUUGUUUGUGAUGAAGUGGAGUUAGAGAGGGCUGGUUGUUGGGGUAUGCUUUUAUGAGAGCACACUAAUAAAGGGUUGAACAUUG